UACGUAGGGUGCGAGCGUUGUCCGGAAUUAUUGGGCGUAAAGAGCUUGUAGGCGGUUUGUCGCGUCUGCUGUGAAAGCCCGGGGCUUAACUCCGGGUCUGCAGUGGGUACGGGCAGGCUAGAGUGUGGUAGGGGAGACUGGAAUUCCUGGUGUAGCGGUGAAAUGCGAAGAUAUCAGGAGGAACACCGAUGGCGAAGGCAGGUCUCUGGGCCAUAACUGACGCUGAGAAGCGAAAGCAUGGGGAGCGAACAGG
rnacentral:rRNA from 1 species